UAGUAAUGAUCAUGUUUAUGUGACGUUAAGAUUUAGGAAGUUUACUGAAGCUGAACUACUUUAAUGCUAGCUAGAGCUUCCCGGAUGUUCUGUGUAAGCACGUGACUAGCGCGUGACUAAUGAUGAAUCCUCGAACAUUAAUGAAAUCAAAUAAGCUGAAGAUCAGAUUCGUGAACGUGUAUCAUUGUAGGAAUAGAUCCAAAACGUGUUUUGAGGUACCUGAUCCUGAUAAUGAACAAAGUCUGCUGAGAUGUUGUUCUCCAUGCUGGAACGAACGACUUCAGUUUGAGGCAAAUGGAGAUCCUGUAGAGGGACUUUUCCUUAUUCUGGUUGAGACAAAUUUUAGUGGGAUUCCAAUCAGACAACAUCUUCAGGACGCUGCACUCCGUCUGACUGAUCUAUCAACACUUUAAUCUCGUAAGGAGCGCGAGACUGAGAGGAACCACCACAUCCAGGUCUUCACCAACAAGCAGAAGACCUUACUGAGAUGAGAACACCAGGAUAACCCUGUCCAUCAUAACGUGCAGAGGAUGGAGAAUGUGCAGACUCGGAAUAUGACUCCCUCUUUCACACCAAGCCAGAAGGUAGAGCCAAAUAAAGAAAAUACCCCAGCAGUAGACACAGUUCCACAGCUCCACCUCAAGUUCCAGCUGUAGAACAGAGUCCAGCUCCACCUCAAUUUCCAGCUGAAGAACAGAGUCCAGCUCCACCUCAAGUUCCAGCUGUGCAGGAUGUAUCCAUGGCUGCAGCACCUCAGAAGCGCUUAACCAUUAACAUGUUGGAGUCUGCAGAUUUUGAAAUGCAGAUCCAGAUGGCACGCGGAUGAAAUGAACAUAAUCUUAAAAAAAACAGGAGAAGCAGGAGUCAAGUCGGAAACAUCAAUGUUUUUCGGCGCAAAGAAAAAGAGAAAGAACAAGAAGAAGAAGGGGAAAAAAUUACAAUAAUAAAAAUAAUUAUACAUCAUUAUUUCUUAUAAUUCUUUCUUUAUAAAUAAUAAUAAAAUAAUAUAAAUAUGAUAUUAAUCUCGCAUGUUAUUUUUUAUGUUUAUAUAUUCAUUUAUUUUUUUUAUUAAUGAUUAUUUAUUAUAUACAAACAUUUGUAAAGACAAUCUACACCCUGAAGGCUUAAGCAGAUCAGCUUUCUCUGUUUGCACAAAGACAAAUAAAUUGAUUACAUUAAAUACUGUUUAAUUGUCAGGGAUCCCCCUGCCACACCUCCCUCAGCCGCUGUCAGGGAUUUACCCUGCCACGCCCCCCUCGGUAGCAGUCACACCACCUCAUUAUCCCGUGCCUGCCUUGACGACCGACAGCUGUGGCUCAUCUCGGGUUAGACUAUAUAAACUCAUGUUCUCGAGUCACAGGCUGUCGGUUCUUGAAUGUCAUGCUGGUGCUUCCCGUGGCUGCUCGACCGCCAGCAUUCCCCGCUGGUUCAGUGUCAGAACUCCGUUACAUGUUGGACUCCUCUUUGCCGUUGGAGGUUUGCUUUCGUUUUGCUUUCCGUUGGCCAGUGACUUUCAUUGUGGAUUACUCGUCUCGA